rnacentral:rRNA from 1 species
UACGUAGGGGGCAAGCGUUGUCCGGAUUUAUUGGGCGUAAAGAGCGUGUAGGCGGCCAUGCAGGUCCGUUGUGAAAACUCGAGGCUCAACCUCGAGACGCCGGUGGAAACCGUGUGGCUAGAGUCCGGAAGAGGAGAGUGGAAUUCCUGGUGUAGCGGUGAAAUGCGCGGAUAUCAGGAAGAACACCCGUGGCGAAGGCGGCUCUCUGGGACGUGACUGACGCUGAGACGCGAAAGCGUGGGGAGCAAACAGG